CCUCCCACCCGUGUUUACUGUACCUUAGUUGCUUCGGCGGGCCCGCCAUUCGUGGCCGCCGGGGGCUCUCAGCCCCGGGCCCGCGCCCGCCGGAGACACCACGAACUCUGUCUGAUCUAGUGAAGUCUGAGUUGAUUGUAUCGCAAUCAGUUAAAACUUUCAACAAUGGAUCUCUUGGUUCCGGCAUCGAUGAAGAACGCAGCGAAAUGCGAUAACUAGUGUGAAUUGCAGAAUUCCGUGAAUCAUCGAGUCUUUGAACGCACAUUGCGCCCCCUGGUAUUCCGGGGGGCAUGCCUGUCCGAGCGUCAUUGCUGCCCAUCAGCACGGCUUGUGUGUUGGGUCGUCGUCCCCUCUCGGGGGGGACGGGCCCCAAGGCAGCGGCGGCCCGCGUCCGAUCCUCGGGCGUAUGGGGCUUGUCCCCGCUCUGUAGGCCGGCCGGGCUUGCCGAACCAAAUCAUCUUUUCCAGGUUGCCUCGGAUAGGUAGGGAUACCCGCUGAACUUAGCAUAUCAUAACCGGAGAAGACAUUACGAGUGUAGGGUCCUAGCGAGCCACUCCCCGUGUUUCUGUACUUAGUUGC
rnacentral:rRNA from 1 species